GACGAAGGGGGCUAGCGUUGUUCGGAAUUACUGGGCGUAAAGCGCGUGUAGGCGGCUGCCAAAGUCGGGUGUGAAAGCCUUGAGCUCAACUCAAGAAUGGCACUCGAUACUUGGUGGCUAGAGGACCGGAGAGGAUAGUGGAAUUCCCAGUGUAGUGGUGAAAUACGUAGAGAUUGGGAAGAACACCAGUGGCGAAGGCGGCUCUCUGGGACGGUACUGACGCUGAGACGCGAAAGCGUGGGGAGCGAACAGG
rnacentral:rRNA from 1 species